UACGAAGGGGGCUAGCGUUGCUCGGAAUCACUGGGCGUAAAGCGCACGUAGGCGGCUUAUUAAGUCAGGGGUGAAAUCCUGGAGCUCAACUCCAGAACUGCCUUUGAUACUGAUGAGCUUGAGUCCGGGAGAGGUGAGUGGAACUCCGAGUGUAGAGGUGAAAUUCGUAGAUAUUCGGAAGAACACCAGUGGCGAAGGCGGCUCACUGGCCCGGUACUGACGCUGAGGUGCGAAAGCGUGGGGAGCAAACAGG
rnacentral:rRNA from 1 species